UACAGAGGUCUCAAGCGUUGUUCGGAUUCAUUGGGCGUAAAGGGUGCGUAGGUGGCGCCGUAAGUCAGGUGUGAAAUUUCGGAGCUUAACUCCGAAACUGCAUUUGAUACUGCGGUGCUUGAGGACUGGAGAGGAGACUGGAAUUCACGGUGUAGCAGUGAAAUGCGUAGAUAUCGUGAGGAAGACCAGUGGCGAAGGCGGGUCUCUGGACAGUUCCUGACACUGAGGCACGGAGGCCAGGGGAGCAAACGGG
rnacentral:rRNA from 1 species